AAGGAUUUAAGUUAAAAAAACUAAUAGCCUUCAAAGCUGUAAAUAGAGAGAUAAGAGCUUUAAGCCUUA
rnacentral:tRNA from 1 species